CAGCGGGCAGACUGCCAGGUAACGCCUGGGCGCCGAGAGGCGACGGACAGGGCCACAGAAAACAAACCGCCCUCCGCGCAAGCGGCGGGUAAGGGUGAAACGGUGGGGUAAGAGCCCACCGCCCCGAGCGUGAGCGAGGGGGCACGGCAACCCCCAGUCGGAGCAAGGCCAAAUAGGCGGCGAGGUGUGGCCCACACCGACCCCCCAAGCGCAAGCGAGGGGAAGCCGCGGGUAGGCUGCUCGAGGCGGCUGGUGACAGUCGUCCCAGACAGAUGACCAUCUGAAGCACCGGGGAGACCCGGACGUUUCAAACAGAACUCGGCUUACGGUCCGGCCUGCGAC
rnacentral:RNase_P_RNA from 1 species